GAUGAACGCUGGCGGCGUGCCUAAUACAUGCAAGUCGAGCGAACAGACGAGGCUCUUGCUCCUCUUACGUUAGCGGCGGACGGGUGAGUAACACGUGGAUAACCUACCUAUAAGACUGGGAUAACUUCGGGAAACCGGAGCUAAUACCGGAUAAUAUAUUGAACCGCAUGGUUCUUUAGUGAUAGACGUUUUUGCUGUCACUUAUAGAUGGAUCCUCGCCGCAUUAGCUAGUUGGUAAGGUAACGGCUUACCAAGGCAACGAUGCGUAGCCGACCUGAGAGGGUGAUCGGCCACACUGGAACUGAGACACGGUCCAGACUCCUACGGGAGGCAGCAGUAGGGAAUCUUCCGCAAUGGGCGAAAGCCUGACGGAGCAACGCCGCGUGAGUGAUGAAGGUCUUCGGAUCGUAAAACUCUGUUAGUAGGGAAGAACAAAUGUGUAAGUAACUAUGCACGUCUUGACGGUACCUAAUCAGAAAGCCACGGCUAACUACGUG
rnacentral:rRNA from 1 species